GGCGAGUGAAGCGGCAACAGCUCAAAUUUGAAAUCUGGUCCCUAGGGCCCGAGUUGUAAUUUGUAGAGGAUGCUUUUGGUGAGGUGCCGCCCGAGUUCCCUGGAACGGGACGCCACAGAGGGUGAGAGCCCCGUCUGGCUGGCCGCCGAGCCUCUGUAAAGCUCCUUCGACGAGUCGAGUAGUUUGGGAAUGCUGCUCAAAAUGGGAGGUAUAUGUCUUCUAAAGCUAAAUAUUGGCCAGAGACCGAUAGCGCACAAGUAGAGUGAUCGAAAGAUGAAAAGCACCUUGAAAAGAGGGUUAAAUAGUACGUGAAAUUGUUGAAAGGGAAGCGCUUGUGACCAGACUUGGGCGCGGCGGAUCAUCCGGGGUUCUCUCCGGUGCACUUCGCCGCGUCUAGGCCAGCAUCAGUUCGUCGCGGGGGAAAAAGGCUUCGGGAACGUGGCUCCUCCGGGAGUGUUAUAGCCCGUUGCAUAAUACCCUGCGGUGGACUGAGGACCGCGCAUCUGCAAGGAUGCUGGCGUAAUGGUCACCAGCGACC
rnacentral:rRNA from 1 species